ACGUAGGGGGCGAGCGUUGUCCGGAAUUACUGGGCGUAAAGAGCACGUAGGCGGGAACUUAAGUCAGGUGUGAAAGACCGAGGCUCAACCUCGGGUAUGCACUUGAAACUGGGUUUCUUGAGGGCAGGAGAGGAAAGCAGAAUUCCUGGUGUAGCGGUGAAAGGCGUGGAAAUCAGGAGGAAUACCAGUGGCGAAGGCGGCUUACUGGACUGACCCUGACGCUGAUGUGCGAAAGCGUGGGUAUCUAACAG
rnacentral:rRNA from 1 species